GACGAACGCUGGCGGCGUGCUUAACACAUGCAAGUCGAACGAAGCUUGAUUACGGAUUCUUCGGAUGAAGUAUGAUAUGACUGAGUGGCGGACGGGUGAGUAACGCGUGAGUAACCUGCCCUUCAGAGGGGGAUAGCGUUUGGAAACGAACGGUAAUACCGCAUAAUGUAUUUUGACCGCAUGAUCGAAAUACCAAAGAUUUAUCGCUGAAGGAUGGACUCGCGUCUGAUUAGGUAGUUGGUGGGGUAACGGCCUACCAAGCCGACGAUCAGUAGCCGGACUGAGAGGUUGAUCGGCCACAUUGGGACUGAGACACGGCCCAGACUCCUACGGGAGGCAGCAGUGGGGAAUAUUGCACAAUGGGCGCAAGCCUGAUGCAGCAACGCCGCGUGAAGGAAGACGGUUUUCGGAUUGUAAACUUCUGUUCUUAGUGAAGAAUAAUGACGGCAGCUAAGGAGCAAGCCACGGCUAACUACGUG
rnacentral:rRNA from 1 species